rnacentral:rRNA from 1 species
AGUGAACGCUGGCGGCGUGCCUAAUACAUGCAAGUCGAACGGAGAGUAAGUAGCUUGCUAUUUAAUCUUAGUGGCGCACGGGUGUGUAAUAUAUAGCUAACUUGCCCAUUACUAAGGGACAACAGUUGGAAACGACUGCUAAUACCUUAUACUCCGUAUCUAUAUAAGUAGAUACGGGAAAGUUUUUCGGUAAUGGAUAGGGCUAUAUCGUAUCAGCUAGUUGGUAAGGUAAUGGCUUACCAAGGCUAUGACGCGUAACUGGUCUGAGAGGAUGAUCAGUCACACUGGAACUGAGACACGGUCCAGACUCCUUCGGGAGGCAGCAGUAGGGAAUAUUGCUCAAUGGGGGAAACCAUGAAGCAGCAACGCCGCGUGGAGGAUGACAAUUUUCGGAGCGUAAACUCCUUUUCUUGGGAAAGAAUUAUGACGGUACCCAAGGAAUAAGCACCGGCUAACUCCGUG